GACGAACGCUGGCGGCGUGCCUAAUACAUGCAAGUAGAACGCUGAAGGAAGGAGCUUGCUCUUUCCGGAUGAGUUGCGAACGGGUGAGUAACGCGUAGGUAACCUGCCUGGUAGUGGGGGAUAACUAUUGGAAACGAUAGCUAAUACCGCAUAACAGUAGAUAUCGCAUGAUAACUACUUGAAAGGUGCAAUUGCACCACUACCAGAUGGACCUGCGUUGUAUUAGCUAGUUGGUGAGGUAACGGCUCACCAAGGCAACGAUACAUAGCCGACCUGAGAGGGUGAUCGGCCACACUGGGACUGAGACACGGCCCAGACUCCUACGGGAGGCAGCAGUAGGGAAUCUUCGGCAAUGGACGGAAGUCUGACCGAGCAACGCCGCGUGAGUGAAGAAGGUUUUCGGAUCGUAAAGCUCUGUUGUAAGAGAAGAACGAGUGUGAGAGUGGAAAGUUCACACUGUGACGGUAUCUUACCAGAAAGGGACGGCUAACUACGUGCCAGCAGCCGCGGUAAUACGUAGGUCCCGAGCGUUGUCCGGAUUUAUUGGGCGUAAAGCGAGCGCAGGCGGUUAGAUAAGUCUGAAGUUAAAGGCUGUGGCUUAACCAUAGUACGCUUUGGAAACUGUUUAACUUGAGUGCAAGAGGGGAGAGUGGAAUUCCAUGUGUAGCGGUGAAAUGCGUAGAUAUAUGGAGGAACACCGGUGGCGAAAGCGGCUCUCUGGCUUGUAACUGACGCUGAGGCUCGAAAGCGUGGGGAGCAAACAGG
rnacentral:rRNA from 1 species